AAGUCGUAACAAGGUUUCCGUAGGUGAACCUGCGGAAGGAUCAUUACAGUGGGGGGCUCUGCCCCGCAGCAAGACACCCUUGAUUUUCGAGUACCUCUGUUUCCUCGGCGGGUCCGCCCGCCACGGGGACACUCCAAAACCUUUUUGUAAUAGCAGUCUCUUCUGAUAAACAAGCAAAAGUCAAAACUUUCAACAACGGAUCUCUUGGUUCUG
rnacentral:misc_RNA from 1 species